rnacentral:rRNA from 1 species
GGUGAACGCUGGCGGCGUGCCUAAUACAUGCAAGUCGAACGGAGUGGCGCACGGGUGAGUCAUGUAUAGCUAAUCUCCCCUCCACUCGAGGACAAACGUUGGGAACGGCUGCUAACACUCUAUAGGGUAGGAUGAGGCGAUUAUGUAUCAGCUAGUUGGUCGGGUAAUGGCUCACCAAGGCUAUGACGAAUAACUGGUCGGUGUGGAUGAUCAGUCACACUGGAACUGGGACACGGUCCAGACUCCUACGGCAUGCAGCAGUAGGGAAUAGUGCUCAAUGGGGGAAACCCUGAAGCAGCAACGCCGCGUGGAGGAUGACACUUUUCGGAGCGUAAACUCCUUUUGUUAGGGAAGCGGUACCUAACGAAUAAGCACCGGCUAACUCCGUGCCAGCAGCCGCGGUAAUUC